rnacentral:rRNA from 1 species
AGAGUUUGAAUCCUGGCUCAGGAUGAACGCUGGCGGCGUGCUUAACACAUGCAAGUCGAACGAUUAAACCGCCUUCGGGCGGACAUAGAGUGGCGAACGGGUGAGUAACACGUGACCAACCUGCCCCUUCCUCCGGGACAACCUCGGGAAACCGAGGCUAAUACCGGACGACCCGCGGGAGCCGCAUGGCGCCCGCGGCAAAGCUCAGGCGGGAAGGGAUGGGGUCGCGGCCCAUCAGGUAGUAGGCGGGGUAACGGCCCACCUAGCUGACGACGGGUAGCCGCGCUGAGAGGCGGACCGGCCACAUUGGGACUGAGACACGGCCCAGACUCCUACGGGAGGCAGCAGUGGGGAAUUUUGCGCAAUGGGGGGAACCCUGACGCAGCAACGCCGCGCGCGGGACGAAGGCCUUCGGGUCGCAAACCGCUUUCAGCAGGGAAGACAACGACGGUACCUGCAGAAGAAGCCCCGGCUAACUACGUGCCAGCAGCCGCGGUAAUACGUAGGGGGCGAGCGUUGUCCGGAAUGAUUGGGCGUAAAGGGCGCGUAGGCGGCCUGCUAAGUCUGGAGUGAAAGUCCUGCUUUCAAGGUGGGAAUUGCUUUGGAUACUGGUGGGCUGGAGUGCAGGAGAGGAAAGCGGAAUUACCGGUGUAGCGGUGAAAUGCGUAGAGAUCGGUAGGAACACCAGUGGCGAAGGCGGCUUUCUGGACUGAAACUGACGCUGAGGCGCGAAAGCGUGGGGAGCAAACAGGAUUAGAUACCCUGGUAGUCCACGCUGUAAACGAUGAAUACUAGGUGUGGGAGGACUGACCCCUUCCGUGCCGCAGUUAACACAAUAAGUAUUCCACCUGGGGAGUACGACCGCAAGGUUGAAACUCAAAGGAAUUGACGGGGGCCCGCACAAGCAGUGGAUUAUGUGGUUUAAUUCGACGCAACGCGAAGAACCUUACCAGGACUUGACAUCCUACUAACGAAGCAGAGAUGCAUUAGGUGCCCUUCGGGGAAAGUAGAGACAGGUGGUGCAUGGUUGUCGUCAGCUCGUGUCGUGAGAUGUUGGGUUAAGUCCCGCAACGAGCGCAACCCCUAUUGUUAGUUGCUACGAAAGAGCACUCUAGCGAGACUGCCGUUGACAAAACGGAGGAAGGCGGGGACGACGUCAAAUCAUCAUGCCCCUUAUGUCCUGGGCUACACACGUAAUACAAUGGCACUCAACAAAGGGAGGCAAAGCCGCGAGGUGGAGCAAACCCCCAAAAAGUGUCUCAGUUCGGAUUGCAGGCUGCAACUCGCCUGUAUGAAGCUGGAAUUGCUAGUAAUCGUGGAUCAGCAUGCCACGGUGAAUACGUUCCCGGGCCUUGCACACACCGCC